rnacentral:rRNA from 1 species
AGAGUUUGAUCCUGGCUCAGAUUGAACGCUGGCGGCAUGCCUUACACAUGCAAGUCGAACGGCAGCACGGGAGCAAUCCUGGUGGCGAGUGGCGAACGGGUGAGUAAUACAUCGGAACGUGCCCAGUUGUGGGGGAUAGCCCGGCGAAAGCCGGAUUAAUACCGCAUACGACCUACGGGUGAAAGCGGGGGAUCGCAAGACCUCGCGCAAUUGGAGCGGCCGAUGGCAGAUUAGCUUGUUGGUGGGUAAAAGCCUACCAAGGCGACGAUCUGUAGCUGGUCUGAGAGGACGACCAGCCACACUGGGACUGAGACACGGCCCAGACUCCUACAGGAGGCAGCAGUGGGGAAUUUUGGACAAUGGGCGCAAGCCUGAUCCAGCCAUGCCGCGUGUGGGAAGAAGGCCUUCGGGUUGUAAACCACUUUUGUCAGGGAAGAAACGGUCUGAUCUAAUAAAUCGGACUAAUGACGGUACCUGAAGAAUAAGCACCGGCUAACUGCGUGCCAGCAGCCGCGGUAAUACGUAGGGUGCAAGCGUUAAUCGGAAUUACUGGGCGUAAAGCGUGCGCAGGCGGCUAUGCAAGACAGAUGUGAAAUCCCCGGGCUCAACCUGGGAACUGCAUUUGUGACUGCAUGGCUAGAGUACGGCAGAGGGGGAUGGAAUUCCGCGUGUAGCAGUGAAAUGCGUAGAUAUGCGGAGGAACACCGAUGGCGAAGGCAAUCCCCUGGGCCUGUACUGACGCUCAUGCACGAAAGCGUGGGGAGCAAACAGGAUUAGAUACCCUGGUAGUCCACGCCCUAAACGAUGUCAACUGGUUGUUGGACGGCUUGCUGUUCAGUAACGAAGCUAACGCGUGAAGUUGACCGCCUGGGGAGUACGGCCGCAAGGUUGAAACUCAAAGGAAUUGACGGGGACCCGCACAAGCGGUGGAUGAUGUGGUUUAAUUCGAUGCAACGCGAAAAACCUUACCUACCCUUGACAUGUCUAGAAGUUUCCAGAGAUGGAUUCGUGCUCGAAAGAGAACUAGAACACAGGUGCUGCAUGGCCGUCGUCAGCUCGUGUCGUGAGAUGUUGGGUUAAGUCCCGCAACGAGCGCAACCCUUAUCAUUAGUUGCUACGCAAGGGCACUCUAAUGAGACUGCCGGUGACAAACCGGAGGAAGGUGGGGAUGACGUCAGGUCAUCAUGGCCCUUAUGGGUAGGGCUACACUCGUCAUACAAUGGCCGGUACAGAGGGCUGCCAACUCGCGAGAGGGAGCUAAUCUCAGAAAACCGGUCGUAGUCCGGAUCGCAGUCUGCAACUCGACUGCGUGAAGUCGGAAUCGCUAGUAAUCGCGGAUCAGCUUGCCGCGGUGAAUACGUUCCCGGGUCUUGUACACACCGCCCGUCACACCAUGGGAGCGGGUUCUGCCAGAAGUAGUUAGCCUAACCGCAAGGAGGGCGAUUACCACGGCAGGGUACGUGACUGGGGUGAAGUCGUAACAAGGUA